rnacentral:rRNA from 1 species
AACGAACGCUGGCGGCAGGCUUAACACAUGCAAGUCGAGCGCUGUAGCAAUACAGAGCGGCGCACGGGUGAGUAACACGUGGGAACGUGCCCUAUGGUUCGGAAUAACCCAGGGAAACUUGGGCUAAUACCGGAUAAGCCCUUACGGGGAAAGAUUUAUCGCCAUUGGAGCGGCCCGCGUCCGAUUAGCUAGUUGGUGGG